rnacentral:tRNA from 1 species
GCCCGAAUGGCGGAAUUGGUAGACGCAAGGGACUUAAAAUCCCUCGGCACUUAGUGCUGUGCCGGUUCGACCCCGGCUUCGGGCACCA